AACUAGAACGCAGAGCAUAGCUUAUUAAUACAUUCAGCAAACAUUCACUGAACACCCACAGUGUGCUGAGCACUGUCCUGUGAGUUAGAAGGUUCAAAGAUAUGAGGGAUAUGAUGCAAUGAGGGAGUCAGAAAUUUUGAAAGAGAACCAUCAGGUUUCUGUCGGUAGCCAAGGUAACCGCUGAGUUGAUACUGACAGGAAGAAUGGAGGCAGCCAGAUUAAGGAGGUGGGGGAUGAGAAGGGCAUCUCAGGCAGGGGAAUAGUAGUGAGAUGUCAGGCUAGAGAGCAAAACGGGUCACGCAGAUAGUGUGGGCCUUGAAGCGGGACUGAAGACAAGGCCUCCAGUGGUGAGACAGAAGGAAGAGAUUCAGGAGAAAGCAGAAGAGCUCUGGAAAGAACCAGCAGGUCAGGGGAUGAGAUGAGCAAGUGUAGUGUCCCAGAAGCAAAGGGUGGAAGUAGGAUUUCAACAGCAACCUUUCACAGAGAGGGUGGGGAGGACAGACCCAGAAGAAGGAGGGCUUGGCUGGAAGAAGGCAGUGGUGGGCUCCUCCUUCCAUCCCCAACUAGGUUAAGACGAACCUAAUUCAUAGCUACCAACUCUGCACAUGUGCCUUUCCUGCGUUUCAAACAGAAAGGGAAGUCUCGGCUGCCCAGCAACUGGUUUUUCACUUUCCUUCUUGUUUGCAGCGUGUGUGCCCAGCAGAGGGGGAGGAGUGGGACCUGUAAUCGGUAGUGAUUCAGCCCAGCAGCACACCCUGUGACCACAUCCCCAUUCUGUGUGUGAGUGUGUGAGUGUGAGUGUGUGUGUGUGAGAGAACAUGAGAGUUUGUGUUCCUCCGCGCAUUAGACAAGAGAAGAACAAGGUAUUACUCCAGCACAGUGUUAAAUUCUCUGAAUUAUUCUGAGUUGUAAAACGAGGAGUGAACAGUGGAGCUUCCUCAAAACAGAGAUUCUGGGCGCUCUCUGUAAUUAACAGCUAGCCUUGUGGGUUUUGUGUAUGGAUCUGUUUUGGUUCUGUGUUAUGCAAUUAUUUUUAUAUUGGGAUCAGAUCUGAGUCAUUCAGAGCCUGUGUCUUCUGGACGCUGAUAUGACAGCAGGUGUUGUCAGUGCAGCUCUUUCUUCUCAGAGCGUGCAACUCUUGAUCUUGGGGUGGUGCUGGUCUCAGUGUCAGUGAUAAUGAAUCGGGUCAAGGGAGCCAGGAGGGAGGCACCUUGACUGACUCCCAGAUCGUAGAACUCAGGAGGAUACCCAUUGCUGACACCCACCUCUAGCGCCUUAGUGACCAUUAGAAUGAUACUUUCAUAUUUGUAUUGGUUUUGAGCUAAAACUCUAAUUUUUUACAUACAGCUCUAUAAUAGGAACCUAUGAAUUGUACUGGAUGAUUAACCCAGAAGUGAUUGUUGUGUUGGGAAUAUGAGUUACUUAUCUUUGUGCAACCUGAAAAUUCAUUGCUAUGAUGAAGACUGGAUCAAUUUCUAUCCCUUAUACCAUAUAUUCCAAGAAUACUAGUUGUUUUUUUAACCAUCCUGCAUGGCUAACAUUGUUUAAUAAAAGUAAUAACGAUCAAUAAAAACAAUAGAAUCCAUAUGACAUCACCCAGGCUCGUUAUUUAUGAGGAAAUGUUGUGUAUGAGCAAAGAAACACGCUUACCUAGUGUGGUCAAGCACCUUUUUUCUUCCAGUAUUGAUACAGGUCAUCCAGACUUAAGACUUUACAGCUUUUAGAAGACUUUCAUUCCUAAAAACCAUAAAAUGUUAUCGUCUGUUAAAGAUUCUACACUACGUGUUAACGGGGAAACUGCAGUUUGCAUCAUCUUUCAUCAAAAGUAUGUAUUUCUGCUCAUUAUAAAAUUAGGGAUCUGAACAUUUUCCAAAAUAAAUGUUCUGUUCCCAGUUAAAAAUAACUACUACAUCAAGCAUUUUAGCACAGCUAAGAAGAGGAGCAUUUAAACAGUGCAGUUUGUUUAGGAGAAAUAUUUCUGGGUUUUGAUUUUUCAGUCUUUCUUUGUCUUGGAAUGAGAAAUCAGAAAGUCUGUCCCAGAACAAACACUAUUGUGUUUGUGAUGAUUUCAUUGACUGUGGUUCCAGAAGAAUCAUUAGGAACAGAACACAUUUGUCCUAAGGAAGCCUUUGUGACCUUUUGUUUCUGAAUUUUUUAGUAUUUUUGAGAAAAUCAGUAUCACCUCAACAAAAAAAUUAAAAUUAAAAAUAAUUAAGAGAAAACUUUGUUCCUUUAGAGCCAUAAUUAAAACACCUAAGUGUCCUUUAAUUACUUAAGCAUGGAUUUACUUUUUAUAAAACCUGAGUGGCAUUAUUUAUCUUGAUGAGAUUGUGAAAUGACUCUUCUCUUUCUGUUAGUCCUCCCCCACUCCUACUUCCUCCCUCUUACAUUGAGUGUUCAUGGGUGGAUUGUCACUGUAGGUAGGAAACAAAAAGCUGCCCAACAAAAUCAAACAGCAUAAUAAACAAAGCUCCGUCCUUGGUGGAGUCAUAAUCCUUUUUGGAAACUUUAGGUGGUAACAGGAUUGUAUUUACGUUAUGUGACAAAUAAGUUGGUUGUCUCUUUCAGCCCCAGCACUGCUCUGUAUACAGUCUGUUUCAUGAUAGGGUGGAGGCAAUUGAUGAAAUUGGUUAUAAUAUGUAAAAUCUAAGAUGAAAAUUUUAGACUUGGUAACAUUGAAAUUGUUAAUAGAUUUUAAUGAAUUGGGGGCUUAUGUAAUGAUGAUAGAAAUGUGAGAUUUCAUUGCGUGGAAUCUGUAAGUCAUAGUCACUGUAACAUUUUCCCCAGAAAACUAGAUUCUUAUUUGUCACUUAAGGUAUUUUCUUAAGGAAUUUACUUAGGGUAAAAUCAGUCUCGUUACCACCAUUUUUUAAAAUAAUUUUUUUACGUUUAUUUAUGUUGAGAGAGACAGAGCAGGAGCAAGAGAAGGGCAGAGCGAGAGGAGAGAGAAUCCCAAGCAGGCUCUGCAGGGUCAGUGCAGAGCCCAACGUGAGGCCUGAACUCAUGAAACCGUGAGAUCAUGACCUGAGGUGAAAUCAAGAGUCAGAUGCUUAACAGACUGAGCCAACCCAGGCGCUCCAACCACCACCUUUAAAGUUCAUGAAAAGCCUAUCACUUUACCAAUGAGGAAUUCUCUAACAAAGGCAAUUGCCAGUAGCUACUCACUUUCAUUUCAGCAUAUCGUCAGAAUUUGGGGAAAGUCUGGCCUAAAACAUGACAAAUGGGAUACGUUUUUUACUUCAGUUUCUUGGAUUUGUAUGGCUGUCCAAAGAACCGUUUUAAUAAGGAAUCAAAAGGACUACCUGCUGCUGUUCAGCAGGAUUCUUUUAAAUAUUGGAAGGAAAGAAACAAAAUUUCCAGAAGCCACAGUGCUAAAAUAAAUAAACUUUAUGUUCUAACAGCAGCAAUAUUUUGCCAUCCUGUUUCCUCUCACUGUAGAUUAAAAUGGGACAUUUGCCCAGGAAGUAUAAUACUGUGUAGGAAGAAACAAAUCAAAUCAAAUUCCUAAAAAUGAAAACUAAAGAAAGGGUUGGGACUACUGUGUUGCAAUUGCUUUUUUUCAGGGGGUUUGAACUUCUUUCUUCAUGACACUUUUUAAAAUUAAUUAAUUAAUUUUUGAAAGAGAGGUGGGGGGAGGAGCAGAGAGAGAGGAUCUGAAGCUGGUUCUGUACUGACAGUGAGAGGCCACUGCAGGGCUCGAACUCACGAAGAGUAAGAUCAUGACCUGAGCCAGGUAGGAUGCCUUAACUGACUGAGCCCACGAGGCGCUCCUCUUCGUGACAGUAAAAAAAAAAUUUUUUUUAAUGUUUAUAUAUUUUUGAGAGACAGAGUGUGAGUUGGGGAGGGGCAGAGAGAGAGGGAGACACAGAAUCAAAGCAGACUCCAGGUUCCCAGUGGUCAGCACAGAGCCCCAUGCGGGGCUCGAACUCACAAACCUCCAGGUCAUGACCUGAGCUGAAGUCAAUCGCUUAACCAACUAAACCACCCAGGCACUCCUUUCUGACAUUUUUAAAGGAGCUUGAUUAAGAUGUAAUUCACAUCCCAUACAAUGCACCCAUUUAAAGUGUGCAAUUCAGUAGUAUUUGGUAUAUUGGAUUAUUGGGGUUUCUUUAUUGUAAAAUAUAUGUAAUGCAAAAUUUGUCAUUUUAACCAUUUUUAUUGUAAUUUUUAAAUUCAGUGGCAUUAAUUACCUUUACAAUGCUAUUCACCCCUCCCCUCUAUUUCCAAAACUGUUUCACCACCCUAAACAGAAACUCUGUUUUUCUCAUCUCCAUGACAUUUUCUGUCCUCUGUCAAUAGACACCUAACAUUUCCUUGGGAAAUGUCUCUGCUGUAUUUUUGUGAUCUUAAAUUUGUUCUUCUUUUUGCCUCAGGUUUUCUUCAAUUUUUAUUUUCUAGAACAUUAAAAAAAAAAAGAUUUUCUCAUUCUGGAUGCAAGCGCAGACAGGCAUGCUACUGAGGUAUGGAGUAGCGUUGUUGCUGUUGGAAUUCCUACCAAGAUAGGAAUGCAGGCAAAUGAAAAUCUUAGUGAGUAAAACAGAAAGAAUUUCACUCUGGAACUUUAGCUUUAAGUUGUUUUUCAGUUUCUUGAGGUGUCUUAGGAUUGUUGUGUUUUCUUUAAGUUUUUUUUUUUUUUUUUUUUUUUUUUUUUUUUUUUUUUUUUAAGUAAUCUCUACACCCAAAGUGGGGCUCAAACUCACAACACUGAGAUCAGGAGUUGCAUGCUCCACCAACUGAGCCAGCCAGGUGUCCUGAGAAAUCUUAGGGUUUAAUCAAUAUUUCCAUGUCUCCCAAAUCUGAUCAAAGAAGUUUAAACACAUAAUUUGGGAUAUGAAUGGAAAAAGACAAUGCUUAUUUAGGGAAAUAGCUCCCAAGCAAUUUCACCUUGUGCUUACCAGCACUUAAGAUGCUCUUUGAGUUUAGCUGUAAGGCCUCUGGAUAGAUUUGUUUGAGGGUAGGUCUCAAUCAGAUAAGUUAAGUGGUGUUGACCUUCUCAGAGCACCUGGAUGCCAGAGUGGAUUUCAUCUAGACAGCCUGAUCUUGGUAGGAACAGAGAAAUCAACAAGGCCAUUCCUAUGUUUCAUAUGUUCUUUUAGUGACUAAUGGCAUGGACCUAGUCUCCCCAGUGCUUCUCUCUCAGGUAUAAGUGAAAGAACCACACUGUCCAAGUGGCAUUUAUAGAAUGAACCAAGUGACUGAAUCUAGGAACUCUUCCAUUGUCUUGAAUCUUCUUCUAGUCUUUUCAGCUAAUAAAAUAAGUAAGACAGAUGAAUGAUAUUCUUACUGAUAAAAUGUUGGUACAUUGAUGUUAUUCUUAAUACAUUUCACCUACCCAAAUUUUUUAUUAAGUUUAUUUAUUUAAGCAAUCUGUACACCCAAUAUAAGGCUCAAACUCAUGACCCUAAGAUCAAGAGUUGCAUGCUCUUCUGGGGGUGCCUGGGUGGCUCAGUUGGUUAGGCGAUCGACUUCAGCUCAAGUCAUGAUCUUGUGGUUUGUGGGUUCGAGCCCCACGUCGGGAUCUGCGCUGACAGCUCAGAGCCUGGAGGCUGCCUCGGAUUCUGUGUCUCCCUCUGUUUCUGCUCCUCCCUUGCUCAUGCUCUGUCUCUCUUUCCUUCAAAAAUAAAUAAAUAUUAAAAAAAUGAAAAAAAAAAAAAAAAGAGUUGCAUGCUCUUCUGACUGAGCCAGCCAGGUACCCCUCACCUACCCAAAUUUUUAUCUCAUAAAAACAAUUUCAACACUAUAAUAGAAAACCAAACUCACCUUUACAAAAAUCUAAGAAAUCCCAGAUGCUUUAUUAAACUGUUACACAUGCUAGGUGGCAUAUACAAUGAAUAUUCCUGAGGGAAAAAAAUAAACACUAUUUUUACUGCUGUCUGUAACUAUUCAAAUCACUUUGACAAGUUUGGCAACCCCCUUAAUUAGGAAUUUACUACACUGGAGAUAAAAGAGUUUAACAAGGAAUAUAUUUAAAGCCACCAAGAUACUCACUAAUGCUUCAGUAUCAUUGAUUUAUGGCCAGUAAACAUCAUUUUCUUAAGUAGAUUACAUGAUUGCCGGAGAAGAAGCAAAUGGAGAAUAACCCUGUUUCCCAUCAUCUCUGACAAUGGGAUGCAGUUAUCAGAUACUGUUGCCAUGGUUCUUGGGAGUCCUAUAGAGUGCUUUGGUUCAGUUCCCAGCCUGGGGACUCAACAACUGGGUCUAACAGCUCUGACUGCCC